rnacentral:rRNA from 1 species
GAUGAACGCUGACAGAAUGCUUAACACAUGCAAGUCUUUGGCGAAGCUGUGCUCGCACAGCCUAGCCAAGGCGGACGGGUGAGUAACGCGUAAGGAACUUGCCCUGCAGUCAGGGAUAACAGACGGAAACGACUGAUAAGACCUGGUAAAGUCAGGCGGACUCAUGUCCAGCCUGAUGAAAAGAGAUGCUGCAGGAGAGCCUUGCGUCCUAUUAGCUUGUUGGUGGGGUAACGGCCCACCAAGGCGAUGAUAGGUAGCCGGCCUGAGAGGGUGGACGGCCACAAGGGGACUGAGAUACGGCCCUUACUCCUACGGGAGGCAGCAGUGGGGAAUAUUGGACAAUGGGGGCAACCCUGAUCCAGCAAUUCUGUGUGCACGAUGAAGGUUUUCGGAUUGUAAAGCGCUUUCAGCAGGGAAGAAAAAAAUGACGGUACCUGCAGAAGAAGCGACGGCUAAAUACGUG